UCUGUGCCUUUAAUUCAUGGCAGCAACCUGCUGUGACAUUGGGUAGGCCCAUCAUGUGACCGGGAGGCACCAAUAGGCAGCAGUUAAAGUUCUUUAAAAACAGGGCACCGGCUACUGGCAAGGGGGAGAUCUUAUUGUUGUCAGUUUAGCAGUCUGGUUUCAUUGUUGUUCACGGGGAAGAGCCAGUCCCGUAGAGUCUCAGUAUAGGAGCUGGUGACUUGAGUGUUGCGUUUCUAGCCAGACUGCUGGGAACUACUUGGUCUGUCACUUGGCCUAUUUUCGGUUUUGGACUCCGGUGUUGUGUCCUUCUCGUUACUGCUAUAAUCUGUGCCUCGCCGGUCACGGUGACUGGCUGACCCGGUGCUGGGCUCUGUCUGCUGAGUGGGCUGCUGUUUUGGUUUUAAGUUUCAGAUGUGUGCAUGAGUGUGUGAGUGCUUGGACCGACAGUGAAUGCAUGGGUUUUGAGUACUUAAGAGAAUGUGAUCUGUCCUGGUUAAUGUGUGAGUGCAGGCACGUUAUUUUCUUUUGAUUUGGUUUGUUUCUUUCUUGUGAUUGUGGAUGGGAAGUGAGAGUUACCGUCUGAUUGAUAUGUGAUUUAUGUUCUUUGUUUGUUGGUACUAGCCUACACACAUUACUUGCACCAGUCUAUUGUCUGGAUUGACCCAACCCAGUAGCUUUUAGUGUGCUGUGCUUUGAAGUGCUCUUGUGUGACUUGUGGGGUGGAAUCUUUCAUAUGCAUGCAUGUUUUAAGUAGAAGUGUUCACCUGUCUUGCCGUGCUUAUCCUUAACUAAAUCUACCCUACACUUUGGGGAUAAUCUGGGCAUUUUACUGAUUUAUAUGUGUGUAUCAAGUCCGACAUCAGUGUUUGUGUAUUUAUAUGGUGUACUAUAUGAGAUAAAUUGUAUUAUUAAAAGAGAAGUAAUAAUUUCCUGA